rnacentral:lncRNA from 1 species
UCUCAUCUACCUCUAGUAGCACACAAUUUGACUUUGCUUUUCAUUUCAAGAACCAAGAAUUAUCAAAGCAUACAAACACAACAAGGACUUUAUUUAAUGUUGGGACAAGGCAAAGAAGGAAAUUGGAGUAUCUAGAUAGUAUGAAUUAUCAUGUAGAGCAAUCACAUCAAUUUCAUAAUCUUAUCAUUCUACUCUCUUUUACUUGAAAAAUAGAACAACCAAACACCAACUUGCAGUCACCCUAUUCAUAUCUUUUCUUUUUCUUUUUCUUUUUCUAUUUGUUUUUCUUUUAUAGAUGACAUAUAUACAAGAAUGCAUCACAUCAAUCAACACCGAUUCGCAAUUGUUACUCAUGUUCCUCUUCUAAAAAUAACUUCCCCCACACUUGAGUCACACUACUGACCAUGAACUUAACUUUUCC